UGCUCACUUUGCUGGGACAUAACACUAAAAAAGGAAGGAUAUAUUGAAGAAAGCAUGGCCCCUGUGCAAUGAUGAUGUUAAGUUUAUGUAGUGCUCCAAAGUUUU
rnacentral:snRNA from 1 species